GCCUUCUUAGUUCAGUCGGUAGAACACUACAUUGGUAAUGUAGAGGUCCGGAGUUCAAUCCUCCGAGGAGGCU
rnacentral:tRNA from 1 species